rnacentral:lncRNA from 1 species
AGCGGAGCAGGCUGGGACACGCCGUCCGGGCCAGGGCUUCGAGGACCUGCGGCCACCGGCUGUCCCUCGCUUCACUUUCUAAGCAUCCCCUGCCCCGGGCCUGCAGCCCGGAUAAACUGGGAGACCGAGGGGCUCUUGGGGAACCAGUUGCCUGGGCCUAGAAAGAGCGCGCGGAACCCUCUUGUCCCUCGGGAGUAACGUGAGUUGGCUCUGCUUUUCUUCUGGCGGCCUAGGGUCAACCAGACACCACUGCCUGAUCCCGAUGCCCACCCCCGGGCUCCUUCCUGCCGCGGGAGUACCGGCCCGCUGCUGGCCGGCGCCGCCGCUGCUUUUCCCUGUCUGCAUUGCUCCACAGCCCUCACUCCAUCCCGGUCCGCGCCGCAGGAGAGCGCGCUGGGGCAAGGGACCCGGAAGUCCCUUUAAAUUCGGCCCUGUGAGGGCCUGAGUGUCUCUGCUCCGCCUCUCGGGGCGACCGAGUGGGCGCCGAGUGCGGUUCUGGACGGCGAGUUCCUCUAGGCUAAAGCGCGGCGGGAGCCUGGGUCCCCGCGCGGAUCCCCGCUGUGCGGCCGCUCCCUUCUCCCCAACUUGGACCCCGGGACAGAGCUGCAGGAAUGGCAGAUGGAACCGCGUAAUGACCCAAUAGCUUCUGGGCGGGGGAGGGGUUCCGACGCUCCGUGCCCGCUCCCUACACCCCAGGCCUGGGCUCAAGCUCUGGUCUUCUGGCGGUUUGGGAGCGCUGGGCCCGAGGAGCCCUUUCUUGGGAUCCUGGACCAAAGUUGCGGCGCUGAGCGAGCACCUCUAGUUCUUGAGUUUUCUCGGGUCUCAGGAUUCCCGCGGUGCCCAGCUCUCGCCGGUGCCUCUGGGGGCUGCGGAGAGUGCGCCUUCAACCUCGAGCCCGGGUGCGACAGCCGCCGGGCCCGGCAGCCGUUUGCGCGGGGGUUAGUGACUUUGAGAUUUUCCACCCUCCUCCCAUCGCCUGCCUCGCGGCUGCUGGGCCUUUUCCCGGGUCGCACGCAGAGCAGCCCCAGGCGACCUCUGGGACUCCGCCGGGAGCUCCCAGGCCGCUGCCCGAGCCCAGGUGGUGGAAACUCAGGCCUCGCCGCCCCUUCUCUGGGGAUAGUCUCGGGCGCCUCUGAGAAACUGACGGAGGGACGCCUGGAGACCCAGAAACGAGAAGUGGCGCCUGAGAAGGAUCCUGGCCCUUAGCGUCCGGGGACACUGCUGCCCGGCUCCCACUGUGGUCCAGCCUAGAGAGGCUAGGCUGGGCCUGGCUCUCGAGAGUCCUGGCCGACUGGCCGGGUCGUCGUCCCCAGCUCUCCGACAGAUAGCCCCGCACCCCCCCCCCCCCAACACACACACACACACAUCACCACCAUUAUCACCACCAGGGGGGCGAGGGGGAUGUUCACCGAACGGUGCGACCAGAGUCUCCACACUCCAUCGCCUGCAGCUAGGGACCUGAGAGCCCUGCUCAUCCUCUCACCAGCACUAGCCAGGCGACCCUGGCCACCGUGACCCGCAAGCUUUGUCCUUUGCCUUUGGCGGGAUCUCUGGGCCGCAGACUCCUGGCUCGCCAGGACCUGCUCGGGCAGGGAAGUACCUAGAAAUUCCACCGCCUUGAGAUCCAGGCCUGGGACCGGCAGGGAGACGAAUGGGACGUUCGUGCCUUUGUGCCCCCUCCUGGUAUCUUAUUAACAAAAACCAAAACCCUUAAAUUUUUUUUAUGAGACCUUCUUCCCGGAGAAGUUAUGCAACGGCAGCAAAAUCCCAGUGUUGCAGGACCGGGGACUGGGGACAAAAAGGAUUCCCCGACGUGUUGGACGUAGCCAAGUCACCCCUGUCUCCAGUUAGUGAAGGGAGAGUGCCAGUAUGUACUGCGUGUCCCAGGAGAGGUUCGAGCCUCCUCCUCGGGGGAAUCAACGCCCUUCCCCACCGUCCUCCCCUCCAGUCGCCCCCUCCGGCGGACCUCUGCUCCUUUCUCCUGAAAGCCACAGGAGCCCCUGCGUGGCAAAACAGCGACUGGAGCCCGAGCGGAGAGCCGCGCGUCCGCCAGGCGGCGCUGCGGAGCCAGGAGGAGCGGGAAGGAGACGUGGAACCCCCGCCUGCUACUAGGUAGUCAUCCCAGGACCCCGCGCUGCCUCCACCUUCGCGUGGCUUUCAGGGUGGUGUCCUAUCCCUGUCGCUCCUCGCUCCUUCUUGACUACUGCGAACCAUCUGCCCUGUCCCUCUUCACCUCCUCCAGCUCUGCCAUUGCUUUCUCUUGCUCUGCCCCUAUCCCUAAAGGGUUGGCCCAGGCGAAUGGGUUCCUCCUCACCUAGUGGAGCGCCCACCACCACCCUCAAGGCUCCCACAGGUUACAUUGUCUGCCAUACUGAAAAGGUCUCCACACACCUGUGCAUCUAUUCGGUCCUUCAUUCACGGAUUAUUUCAUAGCAGAUGGCACAUUCCUUUACUGGCACUCCACACUGACAGAGAAACUGAGGCUAAGUCCUGGAAGCCAAUGUCAAGCUCAGGCCUUUUUCUCCAUUCAGCCCUAUCCCUGCUUGUCUCUCUGGUGGCGACACCAAGUGACCAGGGUGUUCUGGUGCUGGAUGACUCAGAAUAAAUAUGGAUGAGGAAAGUGUGCCUCAAAGAUAGGGAAAGAUCAGCUGCUGAAAUCUGUCCCAAGGCUGGGCCCCCCACCCCCAGGUAAGCACUACCAACACAAAUAGAGAUGCCUUUAACACACUGUUCACUCCUGGCUGCCAGUGUGUUACGAAUUCACCCACAUUCACAGCAGUGGUCUACCUGCUCAGACAGAGGCACACCUGGGUCUGUGUGGCAUACACUUAGGGUCUCAAGCAAAUGGGAGGGGAAAGGAAGCAGGCAUUGUGUUUGAUCUGUGAGGAAAGGCAAAUGAAAUGCCCUUUCUAGGGGAUGAACCUGUGCUUUGGAAAACUCAUAAAAGUCACCCAGGAGGUGGACCUGUCCCCUGCUAGGCUCUGCACUGGCCUCUGCUACACACAUUGGCUUAGGGUUGCUCACCCCUGAGGCUAGCAGUCUCAUGAUGCUUGGAAUGACUGCCAAGCCCUGAUGGCCUGCUCACCCCUGUUAUGGACUACUUCCAGCCCGUAUUAUCCUGUGUUACCCCAUUUAAACUUCACUACUGCACAAAAGUAGACACAUCAAUAAAUAAAAUAACAAACUUCACAAUAAUUCCAUA